AGUAACCUGCCUUGGAGUGGGGAAUAACACAUCGAAAGAUGUGCUAAUACCGCAUAAUGCAGUUGGGCCGCAUGGCUCUGGCUGCCAAAGAUUUAUCGCUCUGAGAUGGACUCGCGUCUGAUUAGCUGGUUGGCGGGGUAACGGCCCACCAAGGCGACGAUCAGUAGCCGGACUGAGAGGUUGACCGGCCACAUUGGGACUGAGACACGGCCCAGACUCCUACGGGAGGCAGCAG
rnacentral:rRNA from 1 species